AUGAUGAAGCCCGCCGGCGCCGGCGCAGGCCCCGGCCCCGGCCCGGGCACUGGCGCCGUCGAGGUCCGCGUCGAGCGCCCGCAGCGCCCGCCCGUGCACCACCCGAACACGGCCCGCCUCAGGGCGCGCCCCUACUACCGCCGAUGGACGCCCUGGCUCGUCCCGGCCGCCUCCAUCGCCUGCGUCGCCGUCUUCCUCGUCACCAUGUUCGUUAACGACUGCCCCAACCGCAGCGCCGGCAACUGCACCGCGGGGUUCCUCGGCCGAUUCGCUUUCCAGCCGCUCAAAGAGAACCCGCUCCUCGGCCCAUCCUCCACCACAUUGCUGAAGAUGGGAGCUCUAGAUGUAUCUAAAGUUGUGCAAGGUCGCCAGGGAUGGCGUCUGAUUACGUGUAUCUGGCUCCAUGCUGGGGUUGUUCAUUUACUCAUCAAUGUGCUUUGCCUUCUAUUUAUUGGUAUUCGACUUGAACAAGAAUUUGGGUUUGUGAGGAUUGGUCUUGUUUACCUCAUUUCUGGUUUUGGUGGAAGCUUGAUGUCUGCUCUUUUCAUCCGAGCAAGUAUUUCCGUUGGUGCUUCUGGUGCUUUGUUUGGACUGAUAGGGUCGAUGCUUUCUGAACUCAUCACAAAUUGGUCACUCUAUGCAAAUAAGGUGGCAGCAUUACUAACCCUGGUACUUGUAAUCGUGGUGAACUUGGCCCUUGGGAUACUCCCCAGAGUGGAUAACUUUGCUCAUAUUGGGGGUCUUAUAUCUGGGUUCCUUCUUGGAUUUGUUGUCUUCAUUCGACCACAGUUUGCGUGGAUUAACCAGAGAAGAGUAGCACCUGGACCACACGCUGCUCCUGCCGAACGCAAGCACAAGACAUAUCAAUAUAUAUUGUGGAUAGUUGCUGCGAUUCUGCUGAUUGUCGGGUUCACAGUGGCUAUAGUUCUGCUUUUCCGGGGAUAUAAUGCGAACGAUCACUGUUCUUGGUGCCAUUAUCUCAGUUGUGUUCCUACUAAAAAAUGGAAGUGCAACUCGUCACCGACAACAUGCACAGCAAUGCUACAGGGAAAUACCUUGAACUUCACAUGUGAAGGCAAAGGGAUACACCGGAGCUACAUUGUGGCUGAAGCUACGCAAGAUAAGAUAGACCAGCUCUGCAACCAGCUUUGCAGUUAG
rnacentral:rRNA from 1 species